AUGAAUCCGGCAACUGAAUUUGAUUUUUUAGGCAGUUUGAGGAAAAGGGGUGUCCCCAGGAGAUGACAGCGGACAUGCUGGGGAGAGGACAGAGCAGAGGGACCUUGGGAAGGACCAGCUCCCCUGGGAAGACUUUGCUGCCUCAAUUCCCAGGCAACUUCUCAGCCAGAGCCCACUCUCUGCCAGAAGAACCUCCAGCCUUUUCAGAAGGGGCAAAUGUGGAUGAGGAGGAUUCCAGAGCGGCCUAGGAUUAGGGGACAAGACGAGAGCUUCGACUUGUUUUGGACCCCUGGACAGCUCAGCCCUAGGGCAGGAAGAAGACUGGAAGCUCCCUGCAAUCAAUUGAAUCAGUAUUUCCCAGGCAUCCUGAAGAGGCAGCUCCCGGGACCAGUCUUCCCUGCACCAGCUUCCCAUGUUGAUGCCUCAUCUUAAAGGGAAGGAGAGGGAGAUCGUUUUGAACUCAUUCCCCUUCCCCAGCUCCCCGCUUCAGGAAUGUAGGUCCUGGAGUCUAGAAGGAAAGGACUGGGGGACAGAGCCCCGAGUGUGAGGAGGUGGUCUCACUGGAACCCGGCACAGGCGGAGCUUCAGGGGCACCCAGGUUUUCCUGCUCCGAGUGCAGGGUCGCAUCGGAGCCCCCCAGCUAAUCAGCCGCGCCUGCAGGAUCUUGCCUUCUCCAGAAGGUGGAGAAGGCAUGAAUUUUUAAAUUCCCCUCCCCUCCCGGACCAAAUGGGGUGAGAUUACGACAGGCCAAACCGUCUCUUCAAAAAUUAAGAUUGGGAGCGGUUCCAUUCCAACUCAUAUGACCGAGCAGAGAAUAUUGCAAAAACUUUUCCAAGUUGCGCAAAAAAACGGUUCCACUCCCGGCUCCCGCCAAGCCUCCCGAAAUGACUGCAAGCUUUUGCACGUCCCUGAAGGGCAUUUUUCCAGGCAGACGGUCCAUAGCCCUUACUAGAUUUUCAAAGAGCUACGCGGAGCCCACCACAACCACCACCAAAAGGGUGAAAAGGUUAAGGACCCUUACAAAGCUGGGCUCGCUGAGAUUGAGAAGACUGGAGUGCCUGACUUAGGUUCACAGAACUGGUUAGAAGCCUGAUGAUGUCACCAGAUGCAGAUGAUGGAAUUUCCACAACCUACCCCCAACAACAAAAUCAAGUUAUUAAGACCGCUGGGGAACUUACAAUUCUUAACAUUUAUUAUAUAAUUGUUAUGAUUAUUACCACUCUAAUUUAUUUCCCUACUUAAAAAUGUUCUGGCAACUGUAACUCAUUUUAGUCUGAUCCUCGCAAACUGGGAGAGCUCGGAUUAUUUAGAGAGAGAGAAAGCGCGCGUUUAGCCAGGUGCGUGAGUCUCAAAUUUCCUCAGAAUUGCUGCAGGGCCUCACUCAAUAUAGAAAUAAGCAAAAAACAGUGUGUGCAUUAUAUCAAUAUUAUGAUAAUGCGCACCGAACGCAGAUCGUAAGUGAUUAAUUCAGUCAUUUUCCAAGUUUAUCCCUGGGGAUUUAGAUCCUAAAGAGCCCUGAAUGAACACAUGCACACACAUAAUCCCAUCUUCCACAGGCUCUGUGGAAAAACACUUUAAUGCGAAAUGAGGGAUGAGAAAUUAGGUAUAUAUAGUAGGAAAAGCAGCUUUUUAAUUGUAGGCUUAGUCUUGUCUGUAACCUGUGGGCGAAGCGGGGGGACUCGGGAGGUAUAAAGGAAAUAAAAGUAGCUGAAUCAUAUCGUUAUGUGGUAUUUCACCAGUAUGUUAAUAUUAUAGAAAUGAAAAGCCCUUAUGUGGAGAAGUUUGCAUCUGAGCUUAAACUGAGUAUUUGAUCUGAAGGGCCUGUGAGUAGGAAAAGAAAUUGGACUCCUACAUGGACAGUUAAAAUGCCAGUAGAUUUAUAUUAAUUGAGCCAUUGACUGGUUUAUGUUUAGUAAAUGUGCUCCCCUGUUAUAAUGAUGAUAUUAAUAUUAAGGAGAAUUUGUUGAGUAGUUACUAUGCUCCAUUGUGCUAAGACAGUGGUUCUCAGUAGGGAAGGUGGUGAUGUGUCCCUCCUCCCUUCCCCAGGGGACAUUUGACAAUGUCUGGGGACAUUUUAGGCUGUCACAGCUAGAGUGCUGCUGGCAUCCAGUCAAUAAAGGUCAGGGAUGCUGCUACUUAUUCUGCAAUGUACAGGACAGUCUCAUCACAGAGUAUCUGACCCCAAAUGUCCAUGUGCCAACAAGGAGAAACUCAGUGCUAAGGCAUUGCAUAAAUCAACUCAUUUAAUAUUUGCGACAAUUUUUCAAACUAGCAUAAAUCAACUCAUUUAAUAUUUGCGACAAUUUUUCAAACUAGAUAUUAUUAGUUGCCCCAUUUUACAGAUGAAGUAAUGAGGCUUGGAGAAGUUAAAAGGACUGUCCAAGGUCAUUCAAGGACUGUGGAAGGCAGUGAGAAAAAGACUCACCUCUGGUCUCUGUUCACUGCUGGAAACAAGGCAGAGAAAUGCUCCCAGGUAAUCCACGUGGUUCCCGUCUCACACUCCCAUGCAAGCUGAGGUGUGUAUUCCAUGGAAGAGUCUACCUCCAGCUACCUGCCAAACCACCUCUGUAUAAACAGAAACUAAGCCAAGCCCGGUAGACAGGUACACAAUACUAUCCGCCCUGAGCAAAUUCUGAAAGACGAUCAACCAAUCUAUCAGUGCUUAUCUCCAGGGUAAGAUAUGGGAGACUUUAUUUUUUGCCUUAUUCAUACAUUGAGCAUGUAACAAUUUCAUGAUCAGAGCAAAACAGUGAUAUUAAAAGUAUGUAGACAGCUUAUGUAAUAAUGUGGGAAAUAAUUGUGGCGAGGGAAACAAGAUAAACAGAUGCAUAUUCUGUGGCUACUCUUGCUUCUAUGAGAAUGUAAACAACCAUAAUGUCAGCAUGUCCACCUUGAUGAAGGAAACCUGGAAGUUGGGAGCCCUCACUUUCUUACAAUGUAGGAAAUGAAUGCUUUCUUUCUUUUUUAUACCUUGUCUAUUAAAUGGACUUACUGUAUACUAAUAUAUUUUCACUAUUUUUCAUAA